rnacentral:lncRNA from 1 species
UUAACUCAGUAUAUCACCAUAUGUUUCAUUCACACAAACGUGUUUGUCUUCCUGGAGUCCUGUGUGUGUUUUGGCCAUGUUUCCUGUUCGGUUCUGUGGGAUGGUUUGGCUCAUCCUCUCGUUGUCAUGUGUGUGUUUUGGCCAUGUUUCAUGUUCUUCCUGUUGUCCUGUGUGUGUUUUGGCCAUGUUUCAUGUUCUUCCUGUUGUCCUGUGUGUGUUUUGGCCAUGUUUCAUGUUCUUCCUGUUGUCCUGUAUGUGUUUUGGCCAUGUUUCCUGUUCGGUUCUGUGGGAUGGUUUGGCUCAUCCUCUCGUUGUCCUGUGUGUGUUUUGGCCAUGUUUCAUGUUCUUCCUGUUGUCCUGUUUCCUGUUCGGUUCUGUGGGAUGGUUUGGCUCAUCCUCUCGUUGUCAUGUGUGUGUUUUGGCCAUGUUUCAUGUUCUUCCUGUUGUCCUGUGUGUGUUUUGGCCAUGUUUCCUGUUCUGUUCUGUGGGAUGGUUUGGCCCAUCUUCCUGUUGUUCUGUGUUUCAGGGCAGAGCCUCUGGACAAGGAGGGGAAUGUAUCUAGGAGCACUGGUCACAUGACAGAUUUUUCAAAUGAUGCCAUUGACAAUCCCCCGCUACAACCCCACACAUUGAGAGAGUUUGAGCAGGUAAGAAUGAUUUUGACAUGCACUCACAGGCUGUUUACUGUACUUGAGCUUAUAUGUCAAGCAAAAACACUGAGUCUCCUGAUCUGCCCAGGGUAAGAGAGGCCAGAGUAUAAUGAUUCCAAAAAAUUCCAAAAACAGCCUGAUGCCUCAAGUGUUCCAGAUCCAUAUGGUUUGUUUGUCCCACUUCACUUAUAUCUUUCCUUCUCUCUGUCACCACCCUCUGGACAUGUUCUAUAUUGCAGACAGUCAAUGUGCUCAUUCUUACUCAUCCGAUACACUGCUCCUCAUGGCCCUCUACCUGUUGAGCUCAAAUAUUUCGCCAGAAUUGUGGACCUGACCUUUAAAGGCUCUUCAGAGACUUUUCAAAUACUUUUGUAAAUUAAUAAUAAUUCA